rnacentral:lncRNA from 1 species
ACGAGCCUAGCCAAACUGGCACCCAGAAUUUAGCACAAAAUAGUGAGUGGGCACUGAAAAUCCCAGGGAGGUCCUGGAACUCUAAGAAGUUCUAAUCCCUUAAGAUGGACCCUGAAAAGAGGGUGGCUCUUGCCUCAUCUUCAGCCAGUGUCUUCUAGUGACUCCCUUAUCUCAACUUACCCAGGCCAGCCCCUUGCCUCUUCCUUUUCUCAAGAAUCAAAGUAGCCACCUCUCUCCAGUACACAAUGUGUAGAGGGAGAGGUUAACUUGUCCAAGCUCACAGCAAAUAGGGACAGACACGGGGCUGCAAUCUAGAACACUCAGUGCCUGGGAAAUCGGUGACUUCCCCUUCAUCCUGCUGCUACAGUGCGAAAGUCCUUCCUAAUAUGUUUCCUUUCAAAGUUCAUUCUCCCUACCCCACAUUAAGCUUUGGAAACAUUCACUACCAAAUCAAAAACCAUUGCCUUCUGAGGCCACACUGAUUUCACUUAUUGUGUGACAAGAAAAAGCCAUUCCACCAUCUGAGGAUAUUAAAGCUCAUCUCACACAGCUUCCUGUUGUCCCCCUCCAUCCUGAGCUUCCAUGCUCGUGUCUCAUUGAGUAUCAAAACUGCACUUUAAAGAUGCUCACCCCCCUCCUUAGGAUGUACUCAGAUACUGUCAGCUAUCAUUUGAAAAAUCCGCCUAAGCCCCCAAGACAUUUGUCAGAAUCUAUACCUCAUAGACAUUAUAUCCACCUAGAGGUUUUAGAUCUAAUGCUAAAAAAAAAAUCAUAAGGCUUCAAAAAAUAAGAUUACUAGCUGGUCAUGGACAAAUUCUUAUAAUCCCAGAACCUGUGAAAUUAAUGCAGGAGGAGUCUGAGCUCAAGGCCAGCCUGAACUACACCAUGAGAUCCUAUCUAUCCCUGUGAGACAGAGAAGCUCAGAGACCCACAUGAGGGAGCUGGGGCUCAGAGAGGAAUGGAGAUUCACACAAGUACAAGAGAACACAGACACAGGUGUGUGAAGAUCAUGUUCCCAGGGCAGGACUGUUUCCCUGCAGCACCUGUAAGAGCAUCCUUCUCUCCAGGAGACUGUGGAGAAGGGUAUGAUGGAUAUACGAGACCCUACAUGGAUCCCUUUAUUGACGAAUACACCUCAACAAUACUGAGGUCAGGCCAUGAAGAUUGGAGAUCAAUGACAAUAUCAGGUAAGGGGUUUGUUAAGUGGGCACGUAUGAGUCCGGAUUCAGAAGCCAAGGUAAGCUGAGCUGACAGCUGUGGAUGAGACUCCCAGGGCACAUAGAUGGUAGUUCUUCACCAGUGAGCCGCCACCUGUAUGAAGACCUGAAAUAAGAGACUUAAAUGGAAGGGCAGAGCAGCCAUGGUGGAGAGCCAAGAGUUACAAGCUAGAGAUAUUCCCUGUGGGCUCUGCAGUGCUGAAGUUGCAUUUGACACAAGGGGAACCUGGAACCCGUGGGGAUCAGCAGAGAGCCUAGCCCAAGUAGCACCCAGAAUUCAGCUCAAAAUAUGAGUGGGAACUGAGGAUCCCAGGAGCCAUGCAGGUUCUGAAGCUCCAAGAAGAUCUAUUCUCUUGAAGUGGACUCCGAAAAGAAGGUAGGCUCCUGCCUCAGCUUCAGCCAGUUUCUUCUACUGACUUCUCUCACAUUCACUUACACAGGCCACAUCCUUGCCUCGUCCUCUUCUGAAUCAUCAAAGUAGCCACGUCUCUCCUGUGCACAAAGUCUAGACAGAGAGGUUAAUUUGUUCAAGUUCAUAGAACAUAGAGACAUAUGCAGGGCUGGAAUUUAGGACAAUGGGAUCCUGAGAAAUGAUUUCCUCCUCCUUCAUCCUGUUGCUGCUCUGUGAAAAUCCUGUCCUACCUACACCUAACACUUAUCUUUCUCUUCAAAGUCCAUUCUUCCCACCUCACAUUAGGUUGUAGAUGCCUGAGAUCAAGAACAAACUGAACUACAUAAUAAAACCUAUUUAAAUGUAUUAAUCCA